rnacentral:rRNA from 1 species
GACGAACGCUGGCGGCGUGCUUAACACAUGCAAGUCGAACGGAAAGGCCCUGCUUUUGUGGGGUGCUCGAGUGGCGAACGGGUGAGUAACACGUGAGUAACCUGCCCUUGACUUUGGGAUAACUUCAGGAAACUGGGGCUAAUACCGGAUAGGAGCUCUGGCGCAAUGUUGGGGGUGGGAAAUUUUCGGCGGUUGGGGAUGGACUCGCGGCUUAUCAGCUUGUUGGUGGGGUAGUGGCUUACCAAGGCUUUGACGGGUAGCCGGCCUGAGAGGGUGACCGGCCACAUUGGGACUGAGAUACGGCCCAGACUCCUACGGGAGGCAGCAGUGGGGAAUAUUGCACAAUGGGCGGAAGCCUGAUGCAGCAACGCCGCGUGCGGGAUGACGGCCUUCGGGUUGUAAACCGCUUUCGCCUGUGACGAAGCGUGAGUGACGGUAAUGGGUAAAGAAGCACCGGCUAACUACGUG